rnacentral:lncRNA from 1 species
GGUAUGAAGUAUUCAUGAUGAAGGGGUCAUUGAUUGAUUAUUCUUGAAGGGAAUUUACAAUUUGGUAUUGGAAGUUGUAUAGUCACAGUCUCGGGGUCAGCGUGGAUUUGCACGUCUGGUUUUCGACAAAUGUUCGGUAAUUUCCUACUUUAUGUAGUCAACAACAUACCUGGUGUAGUUCCACAUAGUGAGGUGGGGAGGGUAGUUCCUUCCUUAUGUAGUAUUGGAAUAAUAUAGGCUUGAACAUGUAUGGAGUAUUUCAUGUAGUUCGCC